rnacentral:rRNA from 1 species
CACAUAGUUAGCCGGUGCUUCUUCUGCAGGUACCGUCACUUACGCUUCGUCCCUGCUGAAAGAGGUUUACAACCCGAAGGCCGUCAUCCCUCACGCGGCGUCGCUGCAUCAGGCUUCCGCCCAUUGUGCAAUAUUCCCCACUGCUGCCUCCCGUAGGAGUCUGGGCCGUAUCUCAGUCCCAAUGUGGCCGAUCACCCUCUCAGGCCGGCUACCCGUCGUCGCCUUGGUAGGCCAUCACCCCACCAACAAGCUGAUAGGCCGCGGGCUCAUCCUACACCGAAAAACUUUCCACCAAACCCCAUAAGGAGAAAGGUCAUAUCCAGUAUUAGACCCAGUUUCCCAGGCUUAUCCCAGAGUGCAGGGCAGAUUACCCACGUGUUACUCACCCGUUCGCCACUCGAGUACUCCAGCAAGCUGGAGCCUUUCCGUUCGACUUGCAUGUGUUAAGCACGCCGCCAGCGUUCGUCCUGAGCCAGGAUCAAACUCU